AGCAUUUGUUUGACAGAUCUGGAGCAGUUACUGUUUGCUCUUAAGGUUUCGCACAGAUGCAAGAGAAAAUGUCCUCACGCUUUCUGCCUGCCUGCCUGCCUGUGGCAGCCAUGAUUGAGUAGAGGAAUACAGUA
ensembl:snoRNA